UUAGCUAGGGGAGCUUUUGCUGAGAUUCAUCUUUGAGUAUAUUACCUAUAAGAUGUAACCCUCAAUACCUGAACCGGAUAAUACCGGCGUAGGGAAGCGCAAAUAG
rnacentral:ncRNA from 1 species